rnacentral:lncRNA from 1 species
CUCCAAGUGGAUCAGACACAUGAGAUGAUGCGAGUUCAAGGAUGUUAUUUAAAUGUCUGGUUUCUCCUGCCCUUUGAAGACCCCUUAUUCUCCUGGACUGUUUUUUUUUUUUUGGAAUACUGGUUAGUAGUGGUGAGUAUUAUUAAAAACUUUUACUUUUGUUUUAAGAGGUUGCAUUCACAUGUGUACAUCUCUGAUGACUACUUUGAAUGAUAUGCGUCUUAAUAUAAUUUGAUGAGCAUAAUCCAAUAGUCUUAAUUCUAAUAAUUGUUAACUGUUUUAAAACUGAUGCAUACUUUUGAUAUUUUACAGAUAUCUGAUAUUUCACCAGACAGGUACACUUAUUGACAUCCACUUCACUGUCAGUCCAAAGCCUCUACAUUAAUGGUAUUUAUGAAACUAUACUGUAAUCUGUAUGUUUAGUUGAUCGGUUUAAAUCACAUGUUUGCUACUUUUAAAAUCUUUGUCUGACAAUGUUGCAAAUGUUAAUAUUAAUCUAUUAUUUUUCUCUCUCCCUGUCCAUUGAAUGUGUCAGUGUAUUAAGGGUGCACAGUAGCAGUUGCAGUUAGAUUGGAGUUACCAAAACAUCCACAAUUUGGACAUUUCUGCCAUUAUCCAUGUACGUAUUCAAAGUUUGCAAUAUCAUUUUACAGUUUGUUGUAGGAAGACACUAUUGGAUUUCUUGGCCUACCAUUCGCAAUCCUAGAACUGAGGUAUAACAGUUAUCUGUAAUCAGUAUUUGUUGACCAUGACUGGUUCUUAUUAUAUUCAAGUUCACAUUUCUCAGGAUACAGACGUUACUAAAUUAUUGAAAUUAAGUUUAAUAUUUCUGUACUGAAUCUCAUUUUUUAACUGUGCAUUCUCGAGGCUGCAAAUGAAGCCCUCAUCCCAGAAUGCAUUGAGGAGACAAUGCCCACGAUAGACCAGGGGACAUCAGGAUCGUCAAUGAGGGCCAGAUAAUCUUACAGUUAUUUGGAUAACUUGGCAUUAGCUACUGCACAAUUCAACUGCCCAUCUAACUGAAAGGGAACAUUCACCCAAAAAUGAAAAUUCUGGUAUCAUUUACUCACCCUCAAAUUGUUCCAAACCUGUAUAAAUUAGUUUGUUCUGCUGAACACAAAGGAAUGUAUUUUGAAGAAUGCUUAUAACCGAACAGUUUUAGGGGCACCAUUGACUUCCAUAGUAUUUUUUUCCUACUAUGGCAAUCAAUGGUGCCCCAAAGCUGUCUGGCCUCAAACAUCCUUCAAAAUACCUUCCUUUGUGUUCAGCAGAACAAAGA